AUGAGCCAUCCACAACUUCUCUGGGCAACCUGUGCCAGUACGUCACCCCCACUCUGAAGAAUUUCUUCCUAGUACCUAAUCUAAAUGUACUCUCUUUUGGUUUAAAGCCAUUCCCUGUUGUCCUUUCACUUCAUGCCCUUGUAAAAAGUCUUCUCUCCAGCUCUUCUGUAGGACCCCUUUAAGUACUGGAAGGUGCUCUAAGGUUUCCCCAGAGGUUUCUCUUUCCCAGUCUAGACCACCCCAGCUCUCUGAGCCUGCCUUCAUGGGAGAGGUGCUCCAGCCCCCUGAUCAUCUUCGUGGCCCUCCUCUGCAGUUGCUCCAUCAGGUCCAUGUCCUUCCUGUGCUGCGGACCCCAGAGCUGGAUGCAGUGUUUCAGGUGGGGUCUCACCAGAGUGGAGGAGAGGGCAGAAUCCCCUCCCUCACUCUGCUGCCCACACUGCUUUGUAUGCAGUCCAGGAUACAAUUGGCUCUUUGGGUUGCAAGAGCACAUUGCCAGAUCAUGUCUAUCCUACAUCACCAGCAUUUAUUUUGGGAGUCUUGUUGCAUGGCUUGUUUCCUUCAAGUACAGACCACGGUGGUUAGCCAAAGUUGAAGUGAGCACUAAUCAUCUUUUUAAGAGUACUUUUUUUAUUUCUAAUGAAGUUGAAAGCUUCCAGUAUAACAACACAAGUUUUUGUAGAAACUCAUUUCCAUGAAGGGUACUGGAAGGACAAAUACUUCAUUGAAUGGUUUGGAUGAUAUAAAAUGGCAUAAUAAACAGUAUAUGUUGUGAACUGUUAAUGUACAUCACACUGCUGGACCAGUAUUAACCAAGGGAUGAAAGAGCAUGUUGUUUCAGAUCAACUACAUUCAUUACAUUAAUUAAAUUCUUAAUUCUGUCUUAGAGUUUUCUGGCAGAGGAACUCUGAGGAGUGGUUGCAGUUCCAUGGUAAGGGAAUGGAUCCUUCCUUUCAGCUCAAUAACACUUCCUCACAGUGCUAGAAGAGGAAUUAGUUAUGAGUAUGUGGGAAAACAAGAUUGUUUCGUGCAGUGAACUUCAAAUUUUACUCUCUUUGAUGGGUUAUGUAUUACCACUGUGACAAAAAGUAAAAAAUCCAAAAAACAACCUCACCUCCUGCAUUAUUUAGUAGAACUUCCAGUAAGCUCUCUAACUGUUUUCCUGGAAGAGAAGGAUCCAUACAAACUCUAAAGGUUAGAAGAAGCAAGUUUGCUGUAUGAGCUUUAAGCAGUAAAAACCUGCCUGUUGUUGCAUAAUCCUCUUAGGUGAUGCAAGCUGCAUCUGUGAUUCAACAGCUGAAUGAUAAUGAGCUAAACAUCUGCAAAAAAGUGUAGUUUGUAACUGCAAUCUGGCAGUCACCAAUUUUGGUAAUGAGAAAAUACAUUAUUUUGGUUGUGCAGGCUUUUCUUAAAUAUUUUUCAUUUUCAGUGCAGCUUUUUGGAAGUGAUAAAAACUUCUCUAAAAGCUACUUUUGACAAAUGAGUCUAAAGAAAUUUGCAAUGGUGGUCAUUUCAGUUAAAAAAUAAUACAACCCAAACCACAAGCUUGCUGUUGAACUUGGCCCAAGGCUGAUACCGUUUUUGUAAAACUGACUCUGGAAAAUUACAUGGUAAACUAAUGGAGAGAAUUAAUCAUGUUGUGUAGUGGUGGCUGCUAUGCCCUUGCUGGUAUUUAAGAUGUAGAAAAUAAAGCAUAACAUUUAAUGUCAAUAACAAUGUCAGAACUUUUGCAAGUAAAUAAAAAUUCCAUCUUCAAAAUGUUGAAGGUUUUUAUUUUUAGAUGUAACAAAUUAUUUUUUCCUUUGUUUGUGGCUAAUUAGUUUAUAGGAAUAUAUAGGUGUGAAGAAUGAACUCUUAACAACACAGCUGUUAAGCAACAGCUCUUGGAGUGAUCGAUUUCUCAAGCGGUGGUUUCAUUGGUACCUUCUUAAAGCUUUCACUUAACUCAGUUACCUUGUCUGCAAGAAGUCUUGUUUAGUUGUCUCACCAGUUCUGAACUACGUUGUGAUACACAGUCAUUUACUCAACUGCUUUCCAGCUCUGUAAAUCAGAACAAGAACUCUUAAUUUGGAGUGAGGCAGUUUGGAUCACUGAGUUCUAGCAAAGAAAAAAAAAAAAUCAGUAAUAGUCUAGAGGUUGAAAGAUAACAUUUUAUUGGGGUUGAAGGUUGCAGUUUUAUGUAAAACCAUUGCAGUUAAUCUAAUCCAGAGAACUACUACUUCUCCAGCUCUUUAUAUUUUUGUAGAAAGAGCAAAAAUGUGACUGACCACACAAGUAUCAUACGUUAUUUUCCAGUAUACCUUAUUUUACAGUAGUUGUGUCAAAGUGUGGGUGUUUAAUCUUUUAAAUCCAUCUGUAUAAGUUUUAUAGUGUGCUCAUCUCAGCUGUUAUUGCCAAAGUUUUUCAGCAAUAAUUCUGAAGCAGGUAGGUAAUACGUUGUUAUCAGUGGUAACACUCAAAUUUUGCAGUAAAAUUGUACAAGAGGAUUUUGAAAGAUCCUUGAAAGGAAAGGAUGUAGUUAGAACUUAAUCAUCACUGUUUAAUUUCUGUAUCUGCCUAGGACACAGCGACAGGAACAGCCUUCUAAGGAAUGUUUUCUGAUGCCACUGCAAUGAACUGGUCAAAUAAAGAAAAAAUGGUCAGCAAAAAAAAAAAACAACGUUACCCACAAUUACCUAACUAGCCUGUUGCAUAUGCUUCAUGAUGUGAACCUGAAAAUGUUUUCAUGGUGUGGAUUACAUAUCAAAAAGUGUGAGAUUGGGUGCGAUAACAUUGCCAAUCAUUUUGUAAUUUUACCAUGUGUCUGGGGCAACAGAUAUACCAUAUCCAAGUAAUUAUUUCUGUUAGUGCACUAUUAUUGUAUCUUUGGUUGUUUUCAGAGAACUUGUUUAACUUUCAUGGAGCAAAAACCCCUGAGUGUGAUGUAAUCAAUACUUCAUAAAUUAUUGGCAGGUGCUCUGCAAGACAUGGUAAUGAACUGCUCUGACAAAUCAUCAGGGAAUUACUUCUUCUGCUGUUUUGCAGCUCCUGAAGGAGUUGCACAGCUGGCGGAGCAUAUUGCCCGUCACCAUGCCAGACUCGGCAUUUGAAAGGCUGCCAGAUUGCUUUGUGCUGUUGUGCUUGUCAUGGAUCAGCAGUUUGCAACAGUAUGAAGAUAGUAAGUGUUUUAUUCUUUGCUCUUUGGAGGAUCACACAAGUUAAUACUGCAUUUAUAAAGCGUCCAACCUAUUUUCUGAACCUACCAGUACUUGGUUUGCAUUACCUGGUUAGAUUAAUCUUUAUGCUGCAAGAAUCUAUAGAGAAGUUAUGUUUUUGAAAUACUCUGGUAAAAUUUCUCUUAGCAUCAAUGUUUGGAGUCGCUCGGUAUAGCCUGCUUUUCAUGUUUUAUGUAAUUUUAUUAUGCUUUAGUAUUUCUUUCAUAAUCUCCCUGACUUUACUAAUGCACAAUAUUGCAAAAGCAGUAUAAAACUAGUCAUCAGACUUUAAAUCAUUUGUGUAUCUCUAAACCUCUUAUGCUGAUUAAAAGUGUUAAGGCUAUUAGUAUUUUUUAUGUAACUGGGUCUAAAUUUAGUUUCUGUUGCAGUCCAAAAACACUCUGAUAUUGCAAACAUAAUGUGCUUCCUUUUGGAGUUGAUGGUAACAGUUUUUCAGCACAGCUUUUGUGUUUCUGUGUACUAAUGACUUGAAUAGUUAACAUUGUGUUUAUUGUAGAAGUUCAGUAGUGACUUUCCAUAGUUCUGAUUUCUCUUCCAGGAGUGUCAAAAUACUACUUUUGUUGUUGUGUGAAAUAUGAUUUUAUUUACUUCUGUAGAUAAAAAAUUGGUUUUUAUUUAAUUCUUGAAUUUUUAAAAAGUUAUUUGAGUAGCCCAUAGGUUACUGCUCCAUUGGUUGGAAAGACAGGACUGUUAAUAUUUUUCCUCAGGUAAAAUUAUUCUGGUUCUUGUAUGGAGAGACAAAAAGAAAAGGAAGUGUUAAACUGGAAAAUGUUAGAUAGCAUGUAUGUAGCCCAUACCUUCCAAAAUGAAUAGCUGUAAAAUGCCUGCAUGACAGUCUCAUCCUGCAAAACCACACUUAAUUGUCCAUUCUGUGUAGUCUGGUCUAACUGUUUGAAGAACCCAGUUAUGAAAAAGCAACAAAGUCGUGCCAUCACAUGGCAUCACAUCACAUCACAGAUUUUAUUUCCUGCAAUAUUGUGCAUUGCCUUUGGCCAGUGACAAUGUGUGGUCUUAAUUUCACACGCACACAAGUUUUAUGUCAUAGAUGACAGCUUGAUGCAAAAAGUCACCUUAAAAAAAAAAAGACUACUGGUGUUGGAGGUAUGAGAAUAUCCAAUGAAGGAAAUCAUAGCUCUGUGUUCAAGGAGCCUGUUGGAAAGACUGAACAUUUUGAACAUGAGUAGUAGCCUUCCUGCUAUUUACAUACAAAAAUGAGUGCCUUUAAGCUCAUGUAUGGAAAUGGGUAAUUACAUUAUGUUUUUAUAGAACACAAAAUCGAAGAUCGUAUUUCUAAUAUAUGUGUGCAUGAUCUCAGAAACAGCUAGAGACUGCAUUGUGUGAGCCGUAUAUACAAGUCAAUAGUUACAUACCUAGGAGUACAGCACUUGAGUGCUUCUGGUAAUUUUACUCCUACAUUGGCAGGACUGUUCCAUUGAUUGUUUUCUAAGAAACAAAUAGCUUCCAAAUUAUACAGUUAUUUUUUGAUCUGUGAAUGGAAUUUUCCUUUGCUUGUCAGAACAUAGGCUCUUAAAAUGCUGAAGUGGUUCUAAAACAAUUCAUCUAGUCAGGGGGCAAUAUGUUUUCUUUGAAAUUGAGCAUUUCUUUGAGACUGGGAAAGGAUAUCUGCCUUGGUGUUCUUGGUUUGGAAAUACAGUAUGGAUGGAGUGAAGAAAGAGCUUUAGGCAACAUGGAAGGAAGGAGAAAUAACCAAAACUGUGAUGACUUUUCUAGGGACAUGGUGUUCUGCUUUGCUUGAGAGAGUUACUGAUGUCUUGUCAAUUAUUCCCCAUAGAAUUAAGCAUGAGUUUAAGCAUUGGAAAGUUUUAGUGGCUAAUUUUUCAGCUUCUUCAGGCCUGUCAUGUCAGAAGAUAAUGGUGUAUGUUUUUUUUCCAGGAUGAGAUUAGGUUAGGAUUAUGAACAGCAUCAUAAAGAAUUAAAUUCAUUGAUCACACAGCAGAGUCUGCAGGUCUAGGUUUGAUGGCUGCAAGUUGUUUAUGAAGUGUUCUGUGCCGGGUGAUUUAUUUGAUUCAUAGUUCAGGUUAUGGCUAAGGGCAGGGCUAGGGACACCAGGUUGCAAAUGGAAAUUUUGUACGGUCUCAUGGUGAGAGAAGCAAAAAUGAGGCUUGGUAUCGAUACAGAGAAGAGCACUAAAGGCAAAUCAUGGCUAUUCUUGGAAACUUCCACUUUAUCAACUGAUACUGGGUUGACACCAACAACAAGAAGUUACAAGACUCUUUGUUUCUUGUCUAUUCAUAAAGUUCUAGCAAAUGCAGCGCUCCACUGUCACUGGUCAAAGUGUUAGUCUGUGUGGUUUUGAAUACACAGCUUUGUGUAACUUGUUGGACUAACAGAUAUUUACUUCUGCUUUUUAUUUCAUUAUAUUGAUCAUACCAUUCUUUCACUUAAUUGUUGAUUAGAUAGUUCAAUCAUAUGUAAUUCUAUGAAAUCCAGAACUAGAGAGAAUUUUUAUAGUUGGGCUGCUCAAUACUGAAAAAUGUUUUUAGUGUUAAAUGGAUUUUCAUUAUGGUAUUGCCUUUUUUUAAAUUCCGUGAGCUUUCUGAAACAGUGUUUAAAACAGUACUAAUUUCCUAAGUGUGUACUUCUGUAAGCCUUGAUUUCUGAUUGCAAAUGCUCUGCCACAUCUUCUAUGUAUUGUGGCUCUAAGAGGGCAGAUGCAGGGAAAUCUCUGAAUAGGGUAUUACACUUUGAAAGUCUGCUGUCUACUGAUGUAUGUACAAGUGUAAAAUCUCUCUCCUAAUAGUGCCACACACUGUUUAUUGCACAGAGCUUUGGCUUCUUUUGUGUGACUGAUGAGAACAGCUGAAAUAUAGCAUUGUUUACAUUAUUUUGAAAACUGUCAAGUCAACUGCUUGGUUUUGACUCCCAAGUUUUCUUUUUUUGAUUGUCUAGCAAAUUUGUUGCCCUGGAGUUGGUAAGUAGCUUUUGUCACUAUGCAAGCAGCUGAAAUUUAGUAGCAAGACACCUCUAAUAUCUAGUCUGAUUGGGCAUCUCUGUAUGCUGAUAAAUGGUAUGCUUCAGGGAAGAUGAGGGGGAAAGAUGGAAGGGGUGAAGACAGGCAGAUUCCUGCUUGGCUGUCUGAUUAUACUGCUGUGGCAUAUACUUAAGAAUUACUUUCUGGAUUGUCAGCUUCAGCCUAUUUAUGAUGUAUUUUUAUAAUACUCUGCUUUAGCCUAACUACCUCCUCUGGGCUUUUUUCUCUUAGUUGGAUGGGUAGAAGUCUUCUACUCUAUCAUCUGCUGCAGUGUGUGGAUAGAAGAGCACUUACGCUUUUACUAACACCAGGUAUAUCAUGCAGGUGAAUAGAAGCCUAGUGCUCCUUUGCUGCCUAUGGAAAGUGGAGGAUGUGAUCCAGAACAUGAGAAGUUGAGAUUUUCCCUUGGUAUCUUCUGGAUUUCUGCACCAUAUCUCCAGAGUUCUCCGUGCAUUUCUUCCCCUUAGAAGUCUCUGUUUAUUCAUGGAUACAGUGGAUGGGUGGUUGUCUCAAAUGCCCUUUUUUAUUUAUUUUUUUAUUUAGGGAGACUAAGCUCGAGAGAAGAGUACAUUAAAGCAGCAUCCUUGAAUUUCUUGCUCCAGUUUACAGUUCCAUACAUUCUGGUUCUUUCAGACACCUUGGUUCUCUUGGGACACUCAGAAGCUCUGCUUUUUGGGGGUUUUUUUGUGAGCUCUUUUAGUCAACUCAAUGCUUUGUUGUUUUUCUUUUCUAGUCUUUUCAGUUUGUGCCAGGGGCAGUUCUGAAAUGAAGCCAAAAUUAGGAUGUAGAGUCUCAGUAGCUCAGAAAGCUUGGGGGUUAUCUCGUAACACUUGUGGUGUAUUGACUGUUUAUUGAGAGAGGAGUUGCUGUUCUUUGGGGAUGUGUGGAUGCCCAUAUGAGGCAAGGCUGUCCUUGAUUUCAAUGCUUCAGUCAAGAAAUGGGAUAUUAGCCUAAUAGAAAUUGUCUGCCCCUGCAUUGCUGCUUGUUUUUUAACUUUACUGUCUGAUUAAACUUCUGCAAUUCAUGGAAUAAACAUCUCAAUAAUACAGUCACAAAAUGUGUGGAAGCUACAAAGACUGUCAGUCACUGUUUGAAGCAUGAAGUUUUUUCCUUGGUUCUAGUCUUCUAGGAAUAAAAAACAUGUCUAAUUUUCCAUGACUUUUGGUGAAAUUUGAUGGGCAGAACUGUCUUUUCAGAAUAUUGCAUUCCUGAAGAUGAUAAUGCUGUCUUGAAUGGUAAAAUAUCAAGGAGGUUCUACAUAUUUUUGAGUGCUUUUCAUCAUAUCCAGAAACUGCAGAAAUAACUAAUUUCAGAAUCCUCUUGGCUAGUUACUACUAGCUACAUCAUUAAAAGAACGUGGUAGAACACAUUGUAGUUUGGAGAUGAAAAGUACAUUCUCCUGCAAUGGUCAGAUGAAAGUAAGCAAUGAAUUUCAGUGCAAACACUUCCUCUGUGCCUGUUACGUGCUUGAAAAGAAUUCCCAAUAUAAAUGCAAGUGCAAGCCAUUUUGAUUAGACAAAAAAGCAAAUAAAAAAAGAAGAAAAGGCAGAGUUUGGGAUACAAGUUGGCCAGAAAUCAGAACUGGUAUGGCUAGUAUUAGUGAAGACCAAUUCUUUGUCCUACAAACCCAACUCAUGUUUAUGCCAUGUGUUUGUGUGAUGUCUUGCCUGCCACGUUCACUUGCCUGCCUAGUUCCAGGUUCUGUGCUCUAGAACAUAGAGCACCAUGAAGACUCAAAGUCUGCACUUGUGGCCGCAGGGCACGUGUUAUGUCUCAGGAUGGUCUGAGGCUGGGGCUUUGAAAGCCAAACAACAUUGAUGAUGUAGUUCACUGUAGACAUUAAGGAAGCUUCUUUGGAAACGUGGGAUGUUUGUGUGUCUCUGGUCCAAAUAAAGUCUCUUUUCAGGAAAGUACAUUAUUGGAACCAAGGAAACUUUUGCUUCUGAAAUUGCAUUGUGUUUGAAAUUGCAUUCUGUGUCUGAACAAACUCAUCCAUUAUAACCUUCAAGUAACUUAAAAAGUCUCACUUCUGAUAUCCCACUUAAAAGGAUAAUUGAUUUUUUCCUUUUUAGUUCCCCUCUGUACAGUUAUUUGAAACCUCCUGCAGAAAAUGUUAAUUUGUUUUCAGUAUGUAUCUUUUUAAAGCAUGAGUUCCUUAGCAAGUUAUGCAAGCCUUUGAAACAAAAGCUACUAUAAAAAGAAAUCUGAAUUAAACAAUUUGCAUAGCAAUAGCAGCCCAGUUUUAGUAUAUGUGUUAAAACAAAUGGAAAUCUACAGGGGGAGAAAUCUAGAAUAAAUCUAGAACAGAUAAACAAAUCCAAAGUAAAUCAUGAGAGGAUUUUCCACAAUUUCAUGUCAAAGACUGCUAAAGUAUUAGUGCUGUUCUACUUUAGUAUUCAAUUUUUUGACUUAUCUAGUGGUGUAAGAGCAAGAGUAGACUGAGAUUGCUUUUUGUUUCUUUUUCUUUUUUUUUUUUCUUAAUAGUUUGUCUCUAACUUUGAAGCUGUGUGGUGCAGAACAGCUGGGCACUGCAUGGCCAUGUGCUGUGUGUGGGCAGUGGGGGCUGCGGGCUGCCCUGCCCGGCAGGUGGCCAUUGCCAGCCCUGUGGUGUUGCUGACUGGAAUGGGCAGCCCGUGGCGUGGGCAGCCUGUGGCCAUCAGCACUGAUGCCUUUGAGCAGGAAUGGCAGCUGUGGGGGACCAGAGGCACCAUGCUGUGAGGGCUGCUGCUCUCGGAAGGUGACCCACGCCAAAGGAGGGAUCCUUUGCGGGAAGAUGGCUGUGGGCAUCUCACACCAGGGUGAGGACUCAUCUGAGGAACAGUGACUGUGGGCACACUGAGCUGGAAACAUGAAGACAUGGAGAGGCAAUGGAAAAACAGGUUUUCAAAUUCCCUAUAAAACUGAGGAUGAGCCUCAAGGGAGGAUCCCGUCAUAAUCCCAUCAUUCCCAUCACAUCGCAUUCCAGCCUUCCGAGCUCGUUUGGGUUGCGAAACUUCCAACAAUAAACCUGUUAGGAGUCA